rnacentral:rRNA from 1 species
UACAGAGGUCUCAACCGUUGUUCGGAUUCAUUGGGCGUAAAGGGUGCGUAGGCGGUCGCGCAAGUCGGAUGUGAAAUCUUGGGGCUCAACCCCGAAACUGCAUUCGAUACUGCGUGGCUCGAGUACUGGAGAGGAGACUGGAAUUACGGUGUAGCAGUGAAAUGCGUAGAUAUCGUAAGGAAGACCAGUGGCGAAGGCGAGUCUCUGGACAGUACUGACGCUGAGGCACGAAGGCCAGGGGAGCAACGGG